UGUCUCCGAGAAAUAAGAUUGCAGCGCACAGACAAAUGCAUCAACAUCAGGCGGUGAAUAUCGUGAUCAGCUUCAGCACCAUCAAGACCAUUACCUCGUUCCUAUAGCCUUAAAAUCGGAAUGAUUCUGUACUGAAAAACUCGGACCUUGACAGCGGGAACAUGACUGGAACAGUAACUUGUGGCUUCUAAUGAAGAAUGUCGUACCUCGUUCCUAUAGCCUUAAAAUCGGAAUGAUUCUGUAUCACUACCAAGUUUAAUUUCGUACUCCCUC
rnacentral:lncRNA from 1 species